rnacentral:sRNA from 1 species
CUAGGAGAGACUCUCCUUGCGUCUGAAACAGUCCAGAAACGUCCUACAACAAGUCACACAACCAAAAGCAACCUUGAAGCAAUCUGGACAUAAAAAUCAAAAACAAACAGUGUCAAAGACGAAACCCUAAAAUAGAAACU